rnacentral:rRNA from 1 species
GUCAAGUCAGCAUGGCCCUUACGCCUGGGGCGACACACACGCUACAAUGGACCGGACAAUGCGUCGCCAGACCGCAAGGUUGCGCAAAUCGCCAAACCGGUCCCCAGUUCAGAUCGGGGUCUGCAACUCGACCCCGUGAAGUCGGAGUCGCUAGUAAUCGCAGAUCAGCAACGCUGCGGUCGAAUACGUUCCCGGGCCUU